rnacentral:rRNA from 1 species
UAACCGGAUUAGAUACCCUGGUAGUCCACGCCGUAAACGAUGUCGACUUGGAGGUUGUGCCCUUGAGGCGUGGCUUCCGGAGCUAACGCGUUAAGUCGACCGCCUGGGGAGUACGGCCGCAAGGUUAAAACUCAAAUGAAUUGACGGGGGCCCGCACAAGCGGUGGAGCAUGUGGUUUAAUUCGAUGCAACGCGAAGAACCUUACCUGGUCUUGACAUCCACGGAAGUUUUCAGAGAUGAGAAUGUGCCUUCGGGAACCGUGAGACAGGUGCUGCAUGGCUGUCGUCAGCUCGUGUUGUGAAAUGUUGGGUUAAGUCCCGCAACGAGCGCAACCCUUAUCCUCUGUUGCCAGCGGUCCGGCCGGGAACUCAAAGGAGACUGCCAGUGAUAAACUGGAGGAAGGUGGGGAUGACGUAA